UCCUCGGGGCAGAGCGCGUGUGGCCGCCGAGCACAUGGGCCCGCGGGCCGGGCAGGCUCGGGGCGGCCGGGACUAGGAAGGGCGGCGAGGAGCCGCGAGGAAGGAUGGGCCCUGGCACCCCGGAACCCCCUAAGUGUAUUUCCACGCGGAAAGGAUGUUGGUGACCUGCGGAGAUACGGCUUGAUUCACCCUCCAGUAAGUUCCAAAGCGCUUCUGGGAACUCGGGAGUCUUGGCCUUGCCGAUACAGAUGCGCAGCCUGAUCGGAAGGUGAUUCAAACGAUGCUUCUCGCCGUGGCCGUGCCUGUCAGUUACGUGGAGCUUUGCCCAAGGAUUUCCUGAGCCUGCUGGGUCUGCAGUGACAUUUGGGCAUCUGAGGAUUAACGCUGGUGGAAGCAUGCACUGGAAUUACACGCACCCGGCACAUUUCAGGAUGCUAAAAGUGGUUUUGAGGAAGGCCCUGGCUGAGAGCCUGGUGGAUUCUCUCAGCCCUCAUAGCCCAUGGAGGAUAGAGAAACCUGUUACACCUGAGAUUUAGGUGCUUUAAUCCAAAAAAGUACAUAUUCCCUCAGCACUCCAGAAGGAUUUGAGACUAUCCUUCCCUGAACUAAAGCUCGCAUCUUUCAGGAUUGGAGAAUUAAGAGAGAAGAACCAACAGCAGAUGAAGACAGACAUGCACCUGUAUCCCCAUCUGAGAGAUAUAUUUAUUAUGAGGUGUUGGCUCUCACAACGCGCAGCCCGAGGAGUCCCACAAUCUGCUGCCUGCAAGCUAGAGACCCAAGAAAGCCGACGGUGCAGCUGGCAGGCCAGCGAGCUGGAGAGCUGGUGGUGUGGAUUGCAGUCUGGUCUGGAGGCCUGAGCACCAGGGAUGCCCAGGCAGAAGCAGAUCCUGGUCGCAGCUCAAGCAGUCAGGCACAGAAGGAAUGGACCUUCCCGACCUCCUUUUCCUUCUCUUCAGGCACUCAAGGCUUUGAGUGGUGCCCACAUUGGGAAGGACUAUCCGUUUCACUUAGCCUGCACACUGGCAUAAUAAGCUCCCCUGGAAACUCCCUCCCAGACACACUCUGUUUAACGAGCUGUCUUGGCAUCCUGUGGCCCAGUCAGGCCACCACACAAACUCACAUCCCCCUGGGGGAGACACCGUGCAUCCCGUGACUGCACGUGCCGCUUCCCGCACAUCUCAGGCACCGGAGCAGCUUGAUGGCCUUGGCACCCAGGCUACCCUCUGCGUGUUGAGCUCCUUUGUGGCCCCACCUCUAAAGCAAAGACCCUGAAUUGAGUGACCGUAAGAGCCACUCUGUCCUGUUCUGCCUGGAUCCUGACUUGGUUGGCCUGAGCUAAGCCCAAUCCAUCACUGUCGUUCUCUGUGUCUUCCUUGUCCAGACAUCAAUUAGACUUGUUUUUUUGGCCGUAUUCGCUGGCAAUGGAGAGGCCAGAAAAUCUAUGUGGGGAAGAGAACACUGAGCUGAGUACAUUGGACUUUUCCCCAUGGGCACGUGGCCUCAUUGAACAGAAGUCAAGCCCCGGAAUCAGCCAAAGUUACUGUGGUGUUCUUGCCAAAAGUUCACAGCCUGAAAUUCAUAAGAGAAGAAACAGUAGACACAAGUUGAAUGAUAUUCUAUCAAAUAACUGCACAGCCUAAGACUCUGCAUUCAAUCUAGAGUCACACAGAUGAAAAGGCUUUUGUAGAAAUCUUCACAGUCUUCUGAGAACUAUAGACAUACAAACGGAGACAGCUUCGGACCAUCCCAGCUGCCGUCAUGGCUGUUAGUCCAGUGAAGAAUGGGGGCGCAAGCGUUAGCAGGCCCUUGAAAAACACGAAUGGGCCUGAAACAGACAGGCCUGUGCUCCUCAUUGAGCCCCACUUUUUCAAGGACCAGGUGAACCGUCAGAGAGGGGCCUUGAGAGACCAUCUGGCCAUCAUCAUCCUGCCUGCUUAGAGAUGGGAAAACACAGAUUCGGAGACAUCGGAACACUUAAGGAGUGACGUGCAAAUCCAGCAGACCUCCAGUCCAGGUGUCCCUAUCUUGAACUCAGUCCUCUUGACCUUGCAUCUGAUCCCGGAGUACUGUUUUCCCAAAGUUUGCCUCCAGAUGUCUCCAUGUCAGAAGGACCUUGUCGGUGUGCUCAAGCCUCCAUGGGUCCCCAGAGGCCCUGCUGUUUACAUGGACCAGACCCACCUCCACACCAGACUUGCUUCCUGCCCCCAGCUCCUUGUGCACUGCCAGGGACAUCAUGACACUUGUCACCUCUGCUCACUCACUAAUUGAGGGACGGCUAGAGUGAAGGAAAAAGGCACCUGGACGUGGAGGCCUCUCCACCGUGUUGGGCAUGUACCUAAAGUGUCCCUUCAGGUUGGGCACGCAGUGAUUUGACAGCUGCUUUCCUCUCUGCAUUUUGGGAAGAUCCGAGGGAUACCUAUAUCAGAGCCACCUGGGAGGGUUUAUUGAAAAUGUCAGCUCCUGGGCCAGAACCACCCAUACAGAUGUUGGGUCUCGGUGCUGAGCACUGUUUGGCCUUUCUUUCCCAUCUCCAGCCAGCAGAGCUGCAGACCCUGUGUAGAGGUGCACUCCGUUGGUGCUGCGAGUUCUGGCUGCCUCUCCUCUAUGCCGACGCAAGGAUGACAAGAGAAUAGAGCUUGGUACAGCCCAAACAGCUCCGCUUCAAACCCUGACUCAGGCACCAAGCUCUGUAUCAUUGUGUAGGUGACACAGUUAUAUGGACCCGUCCUCCUUCCACCUGUGAAGUGAUGUGGUGACUCGAUUAUAGACAUGGCUCUGCUCUUCACCCAUCCCUGCCUCCUACCUGGACUUGAUUGUGUGAGCUGUUAGCAGACGUGGUGCAAGCUAAGCUCUGAAAAGCUGUUGCAUCCCUGCUGUCAAACCUGUUGUUAUUACUGAAAAAAACAAUAUUUCAGACUCGACCUCUGGUUCUAGGAGAAGGUUGAGAGACACAGAGGCUAGAGCCAGGGUGCUGUACUCCUAGUAGAGACCAGCCUAGACCUGAUGACAGCCAUUCAACUCCCAGACCUCUGAAUGAGUCCCGCCAAGAUCAUCAAAGCCACCUGCCUGGCCACCCAGAUUCAUGGACACUUGGUGCUUAUGCCACUGAACUUUUGUUAUCAUGCAGCUUUGUUUUGGAUAUCGAUGCAGUGAGGAUAUCAGUAAUAACUACAUUGCAUGAAUUGCAUUCAGCGAGAACAGGGGUUGCCUAGGACCACAUGUGUUGCCCCAAACAUCAAAUCCUCAUCCAAUGAUUGAUUGUAUAAGGAUAGAUUAAGGACCCCUCUGUGGGCAUGUCUAGGGAAGGAGUGCUCUCCCCAUGCUCAAAGGGGAAGAAACUCAGCUCAGAGUUAUCACCUGAGUGACCAGAGAGCACACAGCUAAGGUAGCAGCAUGAACUUCUGGAUCCAAGGCUACCUGACGGCCAAGGACAGCUUCUUUUAAGCCCAUCACAGUCUGCAAGCCUGUACAGGCAUCCCGGCCAAACCCCUUAUUUUAUCAAUGGAGGAAUUGUACCCAGUGAAGGGGGACGGCUUGUUCAAGGCUACAAAGUAGUUGGUGUGACCAGGUUACCUGACACCUCUUCUAGUGCCCUUGAUGUGACUCGUCAAAAUCUCACUGGUCCGUGGACAUCACUGAAAUGCCUAGAUAGAUGUUUCCUGUGAAGGUAUUUUUAGUUUCCAGGUCUCCAAGUAAGCACCUUAAGCGACACACCAUAGAACACCUGAUCUGCCCCUGGGCUCCUGUGAUCCCUUCAUGGAAGCCAGUCAGCAAGGUGAAGGGGUUACUCAGAGGGAGGGGGAACAAGGGGCAGCCAGCUGCAGGAGUGCCUGUAGAUAACCCCUCCAAGUUGCUGAGAGGAAAGCCCCCUCCUGGUCACCCCAGCACCUACCUGUCCGCCCUCCCCCCCCCCACCUGCCAGCUCAGAGAGUAGGAAUCAUGCCAGGGAGGUUCCUGGGCCUUCUCUCGGGCUGGUGCUGACCGGGCAGGAGCCUGCUUGGCUGGCAGCCCUGGGCACCUGCCACCCUUGUGUGUUUGCUCAGCGGGUCGGGGUGCGGAAGCAGGAUGCUUUCUGUUGGACCUUGGGCGUUCCGGGCCUCGGGGGCCAGCUGCCGGGCUGGCAGGUUCUCUGAGGAGCUGUCUCAUGUCCUCUCUGUACCUUUCUUUCUCUCAGCUACCUGUCAAGCAGCUAAUAAUCCUACCAUCACCUGAUGUAACCCAGAGGACAAGGCAGGAGUCCCAGCUAGUGUGCACGGAACAAAUACUGGCCAGGCGCCCAUGAGCCCUGCACUGGAAGCCUUCAGGCCUCAGAAGGGGAGAAGGGCCUCCAGCUCCCCCCAGGCCCCUUCUCCAAAUGCCCUGCCUCACACCAUUCCCAGACCACCUGGGCCAGGUCAGAAGGAAUUUGAUGGAAUUCUGUGGCAAAGUGGAGUUUGCUGGACUUUUCCCAGUGCGGAAAGGAGGUUGCUAUGGCAGUGACCUGUGCCUGUGAUGCAGUUGAAGAGAAUGAUGGGAAGAAUGUGAUGGUUCUUUGCAGAUCAGCAAAGAACUGAGGCUCAGAGAGGAUUUCCACAGGGAAGAGAAAAGGGGGAAACAACACGAUCUCGUCUGGAAGCCUCUUAAAGACUUGGAGAAUGACUUCCAGAGGCCUAGCAACAUGCGCGCUCCAGGCCUUGGCGUUCCAAGAUCGGAGAAGACUGGACAUUUUUUUGGUGCCAUUAAACACUUGUGGCAAAUUGGGGAAGGUAUGGAUGCCUUUUCAAAAUGAUGCUUUUAAACUGCAUAUGAUAAAAUCCUCAGGAAAACCAAUUACAAUGAAAUUUAGUUCUACACAUGGACCUUCCCCUCCACCUGGCCCAGCCCGUGGGAGUAGGAGACCCACAGAUUUAUUGAGUAGUGCAGAGAUUUUGCAGACAAAGAAGAACCAUCUUUUCUAAAGUUGGUAAUUCUAUAUUUAUGGAUUAUUUACCUCCAAGGAGGUUCCGACUGGAGGUUUUACUUUGAAAUCGGUUUCUGAAAAUCCACAGAAGAGCUGCCGUCAGCGAGCUCCUGGCUUCUGCGUCUUUUCUCACCAGGUUGCACAUGCUCAACUUGCAGAAAAUGGACACACUGAGUGGGUUGAAUUGUCCACCUUCUGAAUUGCUCCUGCUGUCCCCUGAAUGCAGUAUAAUGAAGUGGCAAUUAAGGGAAGAAAAUCAGAGACUGACUUUGAUGGGAAGGACAGAACAAGGCCCCAGAUUCCUGAACCCCAGAGGACCAACCCAGGAACCACUGCAGGCUGAGGAAGUCACUGUGGAGAAUGUAUCUUGAGACUUGGGAUAAAAGUCCCAUCAAAGGUGCAACCAGCCAGCCAAGAUUUCCCGGAGCCUGGUCUCAUUUGCCUCACUCGUGGCUUAGGACAGGGCAUGGGACACAGGAAAUGCUUUGCAAAUGUUCGUUAGAGGACAUACAGGGGUAGGGUGGGAAUCACCCCUUUGAACCACCCUCUGCCCACUGUUCUCAGAGGCUCCAGUCUUACAUGCUUCUUAAAAAGCUAGCAGAUGGGCCCAGGGCUCAGAGAGAGCUCAUGGCCUGUGUCCCCACCCAGGCCACCGUCAUGCCUAUCCGGAAUCCCAUUGCCAAGUGUACUGUACACCCCUCACCCUCCCACCUACCCGUGCCCAGGGCUCUCCUCAUGCAGUCUUCAUGUACCCCCCACCCCCACCCCAAUGCAGUGCAAAAAGCCGGCUGACACACUCCACCUCCAAUCACACCUACAGCUCUGGGGUCACCGUUAGUCUAGAUUGGGUCCUUAAACUAUGCCUGUUGGGCUCAAUCUGGCCAGUUGUCUGUGUUUGUAAAGACUUUGAGCUAAGGACAAUUUUUACAUUUCUAAACAGUAGAAGAAUAAAGAAAGUAACAGUUGACAGACCACCUGACUAGCAAAGCCUAAAAUAUUGACACUCUGGCCCUUUACAGAAAAGGUGUGCCCAACCCUGGUCCAGGGGUGCCGACUACCCCCAGGCACCUCUUCUGGCUUCGGCACACAGACUCAUUUCCUUUCUCCUGUCAACACUGAGGCGGAAGUGAUUGUCAUUCCUUGUAGGGAUGGGAAGACUGAAGCACAGAGCAGUUAAUUCACUUAUCUGAGAGUCCAGUAAGUGGCAGAGUCAGAAUUCAAACCCAGGCAGUCCAGCUCUGUGCUUGUUCACAAUGAUGCCCCUUUGCCCUGGACAGGGCCACGGUCAAGUCUUAGGAGCCUCCUGUGCUCUCCCACUUAGUUUCUCCUCCUUCCUGACCCAUAGCCAGUGGGCAGGUGCUUGGCAACCCAGACUACCCCAGCCAACCCUUCUUUAGAUAUUUCCUGCCAUGACCUAGACGGAGGUCUGGAGCCUUCCUCCUUCACUGCCCCAACUGGCACCUGGAACCCUGCUUCAUUCUUCUUUUCCGUGAGUCAGGGCUGAAAUUGUUAUCCUCUUUAACUUGGGACAACUCUUCCUGCAGCAGUUUCUGUGUUCCUUCUUGUCUCCACCUUGACCAUCUCCCACCCCAGUCCUCCAGGAAGGAACUGGAUUCCUGGUAUGUGGCUGUGCGAGUAGGUGGAAGAUACACAGGCAGCUCCUAGUGCUAGCCGCAGCCCCUCUGUUGCCCCUGGGUUCUGGCUAAGCCCCUCCCCCUCAGGAGGAGAAUCCCCUGAGUUAGAAGCAUCUCAAAGAAAAGUGUACGUCAAGGCCGAGUAGGUGGGACAGGGUCUCUGCUCAACAGCCCCCGUGCAGGAGUGCAGUGGGACGGGAAAGAAUGGAAAGACGCCUGCCAAGGGGAAUGGAGAGCUUCUCAGAUCACCCUCGUGGCCUUCCCACCUGACCAUCAGGGGUACGAUUAUGCCUUCCCUUCCCAUGGUGGGAGCUCGGCCCCGGGGUGGAAAUCGCGGUGCACAAUGAAGGUGGAGAGGCUGUUGUCUGGCUUUGUGACCUUGGGCAGAUUACUUAACACUCUCUGCUCAAGUUCUUUGUUUUAUAAAAGGCCUGCCAUGGUCAUAUAUUAGAGCUAAUAUGCUUCCUGGCACACAGCAGGUGCUCAGUAUAAUAUUGUGUGUGUUCACUCCCCUCAGUCCAGCCCUUCUCUGGAAGGGUUUUCUCUGUGCUGAGCAAGCUGGGACCCCCUGGCUUCCUGUUGAGCACAACCUAAUGUGUGUGAUUCCCCACUGCCUUUUGCCCAGGCCUCCCAACCCCCUGAGAUCCUCGGCUCCUGUGACAGGGACUGCUGUUUGUACCUACCAACCUACUUUCCCUGUCAUCCAGCAAAAGUGAGAUCCUCUGCUGAAUUUACAUGGAAUCAUUAAUUGCUCACGUUUGCGAGUGGUCACUCUCUAGAAAGGAGCAUGUCUAUCCUUUUCUCAUUAAACUCACAAAACUGAUCUCCCUUUGCCCUUACAAUGCCCUGUGAGAGAUUCAUUCCCCAGUUCACAGACAACUAAUGCUCCAAGAUGUAACGACCCCUGCAGCACAAGGGGUGCUGGUGAGAGGCCAGUCGGGGUGGCAUCUCACUCUGACUGCCAUCCUCUGCGUCAUCACACUUGGAGGCACCUGCCCUCAUCCAUCCCUGGCUGGCACAGAACUGUGAGCUCGUCCUGGGUCCUCCAAGGAAAGAUGCUUUCAGGGUUGCUUUGGCAUGAAGGCAGUGGAGGCCAAAGUGUCUUUAGGUCAAGGCCAGGCAGGAGAAGGCUCUCAAAGGCCCAGCCAAAGUUGCACUUCUCCCUCUGAGACCCAGAGAGGCAAACAUCUGUGAGGGGUCUGGGGCCACUGCCUAGCGUCACUGAGGGCAGACGGCACCCUUGACCCUGCACGGCCCACCCCGCAGACCCUCCCUCUGCUCUUUCCAGAAGCCUGGCCUGACCACUCACUUGUAUCUUCUGUCAGAACCGCAUCGACCUUGCAGCUUACUAUGUAUGGACUUCUGUGUGUGCAUAAAUAGAACUUUAAUUACUUUUAUUCUUGUUCUAAAAGUCAUAAAGAAUCACUCUAUACCAUGUAAAUAAACAAAAAUAACCAGAUUAAUAUCUGUAAUCAUCUUAGUCAAAUAUAACCAGCUCAUAUUUUGAUGGAUAACCUUCCAGUAAAUUUUCUGUGCCCAUCUGUGUAUUUUUAGGAAGGAGAUUGUAUUUUACAUGCUGUUUUCUAACAUCCUUUUAUAGAUAAAACUGUGUCAUAAGUGUCCU